rnacentral:misc_RNA from 1 species
GUAGGUGAACCUGCGGAAGGAUCACUAGUGAUUAAACGGGAAGCGUCUUAACUGACCUUCUCACCCUUCACAUCCACAUACACCCUGUGAACUGUUUGGCUUCAACUCUCGAGUUGGGCUCUCCUAUCGAUAGAUUAGCAAUAGUCUAGCGAGAAGAGGGUUCGUCUCGAGAGCGGGAGUCAUCAUUUUUAUACAUACACAAAGUCUAAUGAAUGUAAACGUUUUAUAUAAACAAAAUAAAACUUUCAACAACGGAUCUCUUGGUUCUC